AUGACUUAGACAAUAUUUAUGGUUCAGUGGUUUAUUUCAUUUGAAUUCAUAUGGUUUUAUGAAUGUAAUAAGGUUUGCAGAGUUUUAUGAGUUAAAAAUAAUUUUCUACCCCUCGUGGUAGCGUGUUUUAAAAGAAAAAGGUUUCCGUGUGGGAAACGAUUUUAAAAAGGAUUUUCUGGUUUUUCCUGGUUCCUAGUAUUUCAAAACAAGUUUUCGAGUAGGAAACGUUUUAAACUAAUAGAUGUGAACUUAUGAAUAAUUGUGAUGAAAUGAAUGUUAAUGUGAAUGGUGAAUGAAUAUGAAUGUUCAUAUGUUGUUGUUGUAUCUUGUACUUGUGCGACG
rnacentral:lncRNA from 1 species